GUACAAGGAUGUCUCCAAGUAUUAUCAUUUCUAUGUACAAUGUAAGUAACAGGGAGAUAAAAGCAUUUUUUUCUGUUUGAACCAAACAUUAUUUGUCCAUUGACCAAAAUUGUUUUGCUUUCACCAGCUUUGAAGGAGAUAUUAUCAAAGAAUUGAUAGAAAACAGCACAGAAGCUUACUUUCUAGCUCAUCAGGCCCAAGCAUCAUGUUAGGCAUUGUCAUUACUAAAAACCAAUAAAUGUCUUCUAAUCUGAGGAUCAAUUCAACAUUUUAAGGUGUUUUACUAAUGAUACUGACAAGCCA
rnacentral:lncRNA from 1 species